rnacentral:RNase_P_RNA from 1 species
GGAGUCGGCCGAACAAUCGCUGUUGCCGCAAGGUGAUGGAGGAAAGUCCGGGCUCCGCAGGGCAGGGUGCCAGGUAACCCCUGGGGGGCGCGAGCCUACGGAAAGUGCCACAGAGAUCAGACCGCCUAAGCGCUUCGGCGCCGGUAAGGGUGAAAAGGUGCGGUAAGAGCGCACCGCGCGGCCGGCAACGGUUCGCGGCACGGUAAACCCCGCCUGGAGCAAGGCCAAAUAGGGAAGGACGGCGGCUUCGGCCGCCGACGCGUGGCCCGCGCGCCUUCCGGGUAGGCUGCUUGAGGUCUGCGGUGACGCAGAUCCCAGAGGAAUGAUUGUUUCGGAUCGCAAGAUCUAGACAGAACCCGGCUUACAGGCCGGCUCCCACC